GGAUGCAUAGCUCAGUUGGCUAGAGCAUCUCGUUUACACCGAGAGGGUCCGGGGUUCGAGUCCCUGUGCAUCCACCA
rnacentral:tRNA from 5 species